rnacentral:pre_miRNA from 1 species
GAUGUCAUGCAUGUCAUUGUGACCUGGAAAAUGGAGCCCUGUGACAUGUGUUAUAUCUGU